GCAGUAGAAGUUUCUGCAUUUCUGUGCAACGGUUUUCCUGGGAAUUUAAAAUGAAGCAGGUGUGUUUCAUUAACUGUUGCAUCAGAUGAUCAGCGGUGAGAAGAAUUAGGGAGGAAGCAGAGGCACGGCCAAGAAACAGUCAUUUUCUUCUGCUUUUAUAAAAGAACAAGGCAUGAGGUGGUCACAUGGGUUUUAAUAAAGUCGUACAUGAACCAUGGAAUAAUAUUCUACUUACAGACAUUGGACAUUCUAUUAGACUGCAGCCUUUUAUCUGUGAGGUUCUAGAUGUUCUUAGAAGAACAAUAAAACAAAAGACCUUUGUA